CACAUACUCCCUACGUCCAAAAAUUCUUGUAUUAAAUUUGUAUAGAUAUGAAUGUAUUUAGUCAUGUUUUAGCAUUUAGAUGCAUUUAUUUCUAGACAAACCUAAGACAAGAAUUUUGAGACGGAGUAUUGC
rfam:Hordeum vulgare subsp. vulgare, WGS project CAJW01000000 data, contig: morex_contig_47062